AACCGAUCCGAUGUCCGAUGAGUGUUGC
rnacentral:sRNA from 1 species